GUGCCAGCAGCCGCGGUAAUACGUAGGUGACCAGCGUUGUCCGGAUUUACUGGGCGUAAAGAGCGCGCAGGCGGUCGUUCAAGUCGAGUGUGAAAGCCCCCGGCUCAACUGGGGAGGGUCACUCGAUACUGAUCGACUUGAAGGCAGGAGAGGGAAGCGGAAUUCCCGGUGUAGUGGUGAAAUGCGUAGAUAUCGGGAGGAACACCAGUGGCGAAGGCGGCUUCCUGGCCUGUUCUUGACGCUGAGGCGCGAAAGCUAGGGGAGCAAACGGGAUUAGAUACCCCCGUAGUCC
rnacentral:rRNA from 1 species